UACGUAGGGGGCAAGCGUUGUCCGGAUUCACUGGGCGUAAAGCGCGCGCAGGCGGUGAUGUAAGUCUGAGGUGAAAACCCGAAGCUCAACUUCGGGACUGCCUUGGAUACUGCGUCACUUGAGGAUAGGAGAGGCAAGGGGAAUUCCACGUGUAGCGGUGAAAUGCGUAGAGAUGUGGAGGAACACCUGUGGCGAAGGCGCCUUGCUGGCCUAUUUCUGACGCUGAGGCGCGAAAGCGUGGGGAGCAAACAGG
rnacentral:rRNA from 1 species